rnacentral:rRNA from 1 species
GAUGAACGCUGGCGGCGUGCCUAAUACAUGCAAGUCGAGCGAACAGACGAGGAGCUUGCUCCUCUGACGUUAGCGGCGGACGGGUGAGUAACACGUGGAUAACCUACUUAUAAGACUGGGAUAACUUCGGGAGACCGGAGCUAAUACGGGAUAAUAUACUGAACCGCAUGGGUCAAUAGUGAAAGACGGUUUUGCUGUCACUUAUAGAUGGAUCCGCGCCGCAUUAGCUAGUUGGUAAGGUAACGGCUUACCAAGGCAACGAUGCGUAGCCGACCUGAGAGGGUGGUCGGCCGCCCUAGAGCUGGGACACGGUCCAGGGUCCUGAGAGAGGCCGCAGUCGGCAAUCUUCGGCAGUAGGCGGAAGCCUGGCAGAACGGCGCCACGUGUGAUGUAGAAGUCUUCGGAUCGUAAAGCUGUGUUAUGAGGGGUAAACCAAUUUGUACGUUGCUAUGCACGUAUUGACGGUAACUAGUCAAAAAGCCACGGCUAACUACGUG